rnacentral:lncRNA from 1 species
GGAAGGCACUAGGCAUGACAUGUUAUUUGCAUGCUUAUGCUUGGGCUACAUUGUAUUGCAGUGGCUUGGGGUUGUGUUAGAUAAUGCUUCACAAAGCAGUGGGUUAGGUGAGCUCGGGUAUGUGAUAUUGUUAAACUUUAUAGGUUUGCAUGUGAAAUUGGUAAACCCGUAUUUUGACCUCCCCACAUGCCAAAUUGUACUCUCGC